rnacentral:rRNA from 1 species
AGCGAACGCUGGCGGCGUGCCUAACACAUGCAAGUCGAACGUGAAAAGGGGCAACCCUGAGUAAAGUGGCGUACGGGUGAGUAACACGUAGGUAAUCUACCUGAGAGUCUGGAAUAACCGGCCGAAAGGCUGGCUAAUACUGGAUAGAGCGAAGGGAUCCGUAAAGGAUCUUUCGGGAAAGGGAGGCAGUAAUGCCCCUCGCUGUCAGAUGAGCCUGCGUCUCAUUAGGAGUUGGUGAGGUAACGGCUCACCAAGCCUUUGAUGGGUAGCUGGUCUGAGAGGAUGAUCAGCCACACUGGAACUGAAACACGGUCCAGACUCCUACGGGAGGCAGCAGUGGGAAUAUUGGGCAAUGGGCGAAAGCCUGACCCAGCAACGCCGCGUGAAGGAU